rnacentral:rRNA from 1 species
UACGUAGGGGCCUAGCGUUGUCCGGAUUUAUUGGGCGUAAAGAGCUCGUAGGCGGUUUGGUGAGUCGGGUGUGAAAUCUCCACGCUCAACGUGGAGGGGCCACCCGAUACUGCCAUGACUAGAGUCCGGUAGGGGAGUGUGGAAUUCCCGGUGUAGCGGUGAAAUGCGCAGAUAUCAGGAGGAACACCGGUGGCGAAGGCGGGUCUCUGGGCCGUAACUGACGCUGAGGAGCGAAAGCGUGGGGAGCGAACAGG